GACGAACGCUGGCGGCGUGCCUAAUACAUGCAAGUAGAACGCUGAAGGAGGAGCUUGCUCUUCUGGAUGAGUUGCGAACGGGUGAGUAACGCGUAGGUAACCUGCCUGGUAUCGGGGGAUAACUAUUGGAAACGAUAGCUAAUACCGCAUAAGAGUAGAUGUUGCAUGACAUUUACUUAAAAUGUGCAAUUGCAUCACUACCAGAUGGACCUGCGUUGUAUUAGCUUGUUGGUGGGGUAACGGCCUACCAAGGCGACGAUACAUAGCCGACCUGAGAGGGUGAUCGGACACACUGGGACUGAGACACGGCCCAGAAUGCUAAGGGAGGGAGCAGUAGGGAAUCUUCGGCAAUGGAAGGAAGUCUGACCGAGAAACGCCGCGUGAGUGAAGAAGGUUUUCGGAUCGUAAAGCUCUGUUGUAAGAGAAGAACGAGUGUGAGAGUGGAAAGUUCACACUGUGACGGUAUCUUACCAGAAAGGGACGGCUAACUACGUG
rnacentral:rRNA from 1 species